CUUCCCUGAACAGGAAAGAGACCAGGUAAAGUAGCAUAUAACAUCCUUAUUCCCAUGCAGCUGUCUGAGACUUCCUUUUUUUUUCCUUUGGUCAAAUCUGAUUUGUAUUUCUUCUCAGUUAAUGCCCCUAGAGUUCCCCAGGCUGCUUUCUGCCUG
rnacentral:lncRNA from 1 species